CAAGUCGAACGCGAAAGUCCCCUUCGGGGGACAAGUAGAGUGGCGCACGGGUGAGUAACACGUAGGUAAUCUACCUUCGGAUGGGGAAUAACAACCGGAAACGGUUGCUAAUACCGCAUAAUGCAGCGGCACCUAAUGGUGACAGUUGUUAAAGCGGGGGAUCGCAAGACCUCGCGUCUGAAGAGGAGCCUGCGGCGGAUUAGCUAGUUGGUAAGGUAACGGCUUACCAAGGCGACGAUCCGUAGCCGGCCUGAGAGGGCGGUCGGCCACACUGACACUGACAUACGGGUCAGACUCCUACGGGAGGCAGCAGUCGGGAAUUUUGGGCAAUGGGCGAAAGCCUGACCCAGCAACGCCGCGUGAAGGAUGAAAUCCCUCGGGAUGUAAACUUCGCAAGAACGGGAAGAAUAAGUAGGGGACAAUACCCCCUAUGGUGACGGUACCGUUUGUAAGCUCCGGCUAACUCCGUGCCAGCAGCCGCGGUAAUACGGGGGGAGCAAGCGUUGUUCGGAUUUACUGGGCGUAAGGGGCGCGUAGGCGGCCAGCACAAGUCAGUUGUGAAAUCUCCGAGCUUAACUCGGAAAGGUCAACUGAUACUGUGCGGCUAGAGUGCGGAAGGGGCAACUGGAAUUCUUGGUGUAGCGGUGAAAUGCGUAGAUAUCAAGAGGUACACCUGCGGCGAAGGCGGGUUGCUGGGCCGACACUGACGCUGAUGCGCGAAAGCUAGGGGAGCGAACGGGAUUAGAUACCCCGGUAGUCCUAGCCUUAAACGAUGAAUGCUUGGUGUCUGGGGUUAUAAAGUCCCC
rnacentral:rRNA from 1 species